rnacentral:rRNA from 1 species
UACGUAGGGGGCUAGCGUUGUCCGGAAUCAUUGGGCGUAAAGAGCGUGUAGGCGGUCCGGUAAGUCCGCUGUGAAAGUCGGGGGCUCAACCCUCGAAUGCCGGUGGAUACUGUCGGGCUAGAGUGCGGAAGAGGCAAGUGGAAUUCCUGGUGUAGCGGUGAAAUGCGCAGAUAUCAGGAGGAACACCUAUUGCGAAGGCAGCUCGCUGGGACGUAACUGACGCUGAGACGCGAAAGCGUGGGGAGCAAACAGG